rnacentral:lncRNA from 1 species
CGGGGUAAAAUAGUUUUUUAUUGCUUUACCGAAUGACGAAUUUCACAAGGAUUAUUUAUUUUAUUACCCUGAACGACAUAGAAUUAAGAUUAUAUAACAUACAGUUUGACAUGAGAUAAGUGAUCUAACCUAAAACACCAAAGAUUACAAUCUUUAUAACUAGAUAAACUUUGACAUUAUGCGAUAUAGUAAAACUAUGACUAGGAAACAUCAUUGCAUAUAGGUCUCCUUUAAGCUUAGCUGCACCAAUCAUCUUCGAUGCAUGAUUGCAUGUCCUGGAUAUGAAAAUUAACAUUUGAGAAUAUUAGUUUGUAGGCAAGAGAGGAAGUGAGUUUGGAAACACAUACCAUAUUGAAGUUGAAACUUGGGAUGUACAAGACAUAAGUGAGGUAAAAAGAAGUGGAAAAUACUAUCUGGCUAUUUAAUUGGUGUAGGUCUUAUUUUCCUAAAGGAUUGAAAUCCCAAAAAAGAAUAACAAACAAGAUUUGUUGCUCAUAUGUUAAGAAUCUAGUAUUUUGGUUUGUUUAUAUAUGAUAAUAGAUAGUGUUUACCUCAACUAAAUAAUUGUUGAUUGGUAAAAUGUUUAGGUCCACUCACUAUCUUAUUUGUAUUAUGG